UUGUGUGGUUCACGUCAUAGUCUGGGAUCAGCUGAAGAUCCGGGGCUUAUUCUCUUGUAGUGAAUCUACCAUCAGCGUCUUCCUCUUUUAAUUGGCUUGACAGACGACAAAAUGCUUUUUCAGCUGUGUUUUUUUAUCCUUGAUGUACUUUGGGGGAUUUUCUGAACGAGUCUUCUGCAACACCCAGUUACUGAGCUGCUGUCACCUGCAAUACCUGCAAUACCUCAGAGUCAGCAUAUCAGACUCAGCACCUGGGGAUGAGAAACUUCAUGUCAAAGGAGAGACUGAGCUCAGAUGGUCUUCUCAGUCAAUUUGUGCACAAAAGAUUUUUGCUUUUGUUGUCAGCUGUGCCCGCCUGAAACGUUGCAUCUUUUGUCCUUCCCUGGUGAAAAUGAGGUCAGCAACGUCACCUCUUUCAUGACUUUUUUUUGCUGAGGCAUUAUAAAUGUUGUGUACCUUUUUUUAA